rnacentral:lncRNA from 1 species
GGGCAGAGGGGCCGAUGGGUACGUGUGGCACCUGGGGGCGAUUUGCACAGGCUGCUGGCCUGCUCAUCCGCUCCAGUUACAGAGAUUUGUGUGCGCAAGCAAGCGGCGGGAGGGCUCGGCCCCCAAGAGGCCCAGUGCCCAGGGAGACAAGGCCCAAGGGAAGAGAGCUGGGCCUCUGCUGGGAUGCCCACCACAGGACCUGGAGAAAUGUAGAGUCCCUCUCUGGGCCUAGUUCCCCUUGGGGACCCGUGAAACCACUGUGUCCCUCACUUCUAGACGAGACACAGGGCUGACCUGGGGCUGGGAAGCCAGCUGUGAGGAGCAGGCUGCGUAGCGUGUAGGCCCAGGUGGUCUGUGGCGUGGACGGUCACUGCGGGGAGGACACUGAAUGCCAGAGCAAGCAGCCAGGACUUAUCAGGAGGCCAAGUGGAGCCACUGAAGCAUUCAGCACAAGGACCCUGGUGGCGGCUGUCGGGUCCACUCCUGGCUCCUGCUCCAGCCGCGCGAUGUCCUGACGGUCUGGAAAACCCCCUGCGUCUUGUUCUUUGUACGUAAAACAAAAGCGAGGUUGGAACGGGUUCAGAACAGAGAAACCCCUUGCCUCUCUCUCUGGACAUCCCAGCGCCAAAAGCUCUGGCCAGAGGAUGCUCAGAGUCGGGCAACAGGGCGCAAGGAGGCAGGGAAUAUGCACAGCACGAGGAGGCAGAGCUGUCACCUGGACAGCAGGGAGGCUGGCGGGCGAGGAAGCAGGUAUCCCUUGGGGCAGGGGCCCAGGGGCCCAAGGUGGUCCUGUGAGCUGGAGACGGCAGGCAUUGGGCAGAACCUCAACUGGGGGGCCUGAACCCCAAUUGGUGUCAUUAGGGGAGCCAGCUGUGCAGCCGUGAGCCAUUGCUUAAGGAAAUGAAACUCGGGGAGGCGGCAGGAAUAAAACAUCCUGUCUGGAUGACGAGAAUGCCACAGGGCCAGCCACAACCCUCCGCUUCGCUGCUGGUCUCUUCUGCAGCUGCUGCCCCCCCAGGCUGUGAUCCCCAACUUCUCCCCACUCCUCUGCCCUCUGAGAGAUGGGGACAGGUGCCCCACAGGAUGGAUAUCUCUCCGCUGACCACACGUCCCCUUGGACUCUCUCUAAGCCUGGUUUCCUCAUCUGUAAAAUGGGGCUAUAAUGAUGCUUGCCCCAGAGGGUCAAUGGGAGGAAUAAAUUAAACCACGUGCAAGGGGGCAUGGCAUAUACAAAGCGCCUGGGACUUCUGGCUGCUGGUGUGAUCUGGUGUCACACCACACAGGGGCCCUGAGAGGCAGAGACACUCUGCACAUCGUACAGAAGAGGAAAACUGGGGCACGGCGAGUUGAAGGGAUGUGCCCAUGAUCACACUGCAGUUCUAACCACAUAGCUCCCCAGCCUGGGUUCUUGCCAUGGUGCUGCCUGGCAGUGUGGAAGGGAAUGGGUGGGAGUAGAUUGGGUGCAGUGUCCACAUACCCUUCACCCGGGCCCCAGCGCCCUCCUCCUCUCUCUCCUGGCCCGUCUCCCCACCCCUGCCAAAGGCAGGCCCUCAGAGGGCUCAGGUCUGCAGCCCCAUGAGCAUCCCUUUCUGACUCCCGCGUCCCUCCUUGGGCUACAGUGCCUCUCUUAGGUCUAACCUGAGUCCUCCCCGUGUUAGCUAUGGCCCGCUUCCCCCCAACCUGCCUUGUGGGCUGGCAAAUGGCAGCCACUCUUAUUGAGAUGCACCCCCGGCCCCCUGAUGCAGAAAAGAGGUCACCAACCCCUUCUCCAGGGCAUCGUCCUUUCUGGCCCAGGGGUCCCCUGAAGCUCUACCAGCCUCCCCGGCAGGAGGAGCCGCAGCUCCUCAGACUCAGAGAAGUCACCGUGAGCCCAAGAGAGAAAUCAGGCAGAGCAGGAAAUCAGACAUCUGGUUCUGAGCAAAGGUCCAGAGCCCUAUUCCUCCAGCUAGCACUUCUGGUGCCUAAAUCCAGCAGGGCAAGAGUAUAAGAUGCCAAGUGGGGCCAGGCAGGAGCCAGCUUCCCCAGCACACCUGGCCAGGUGAGCAGGCGGUGGAGCCAAGAGCCAGCUCAUCGCUUGGGUGUAAACAGCAGCCCAGUGGGAAGUUGGCAGCCACCUCCUGUGCCCUUUCCCCAGCCCCGUCCCCACGAGCCCCACCCCAGGGAAAGAGGGUGUCCCAACUUGUUGGAGGAGUUUCCAUCUCACAGCUGUGUCCAUACCGGGUGGGUGUGUGGGGUGGCUGAAGGGGCCCACAGACAAUCUUUGUCCUCCAGACCCACCCCCUUCUUCUCUGGUGCUGGGACGGCGCCAGGGUUCUUGGAAUGCCGAGGCCCCCCUUGCACCCACCCCACCCCAGAUGCCUCUGCCACUCACUCCCAGGGCCCACGCCAGCAGAGCAGAGCAAGGGCAGUCUGUGAGCAGGAUCGUGCCCUGAGGGGGGUGCCCCUUGGCUCCUGUUCCCACCAGAUGGGAGCCGUAUCCCUUGGAAGAAAGGGUGCAGCUCCAAGGUGUCCAGAAGGAGGAAGAAAACAAGUCUCCAUCAAGCCCUGCAUUUUACAGACAUGAUCUGGGAGAUGGGGAUUGCCACCCCUACUUUAAAGAUGGGGAAACUAAGGCUAGACCAGCAGUUGUAUGAGGGCUUGGACUCUCUCUGCCUUGUUUUCCCCUGUCUCCCUGGUACCUGGCACACAGCAAGAGCUCAUGGUGUGCUUGUGGAGUGGAUGAAUGAGGCUCAGAGAGGGCAAGUGACCUGGCCAGAAAGUUGCUCAACGGGGAAUCAACCCAGUUUGAAUCCUAAAGCCAGGCUGUUCCUGAGACCCACCCACUGAGGUGGGGUAGCACUCGUGCAUGCAUGAAUGUGCACCCACCCUGCUGUGAGAGUCCUGUCCACGCUCAUAUACACACCUACACUCACAGCCCUCAGCCGAGAGCCCCCACCUGCCACCCCACUCAAGCCCAGUGGUGGGCCCUCUCCCACCCCCUGCCACCUCUGGCAGGCACUCAAACUUCCUUCUGCACUGGUCUCACACCCUCCUCUGUCACCACCCCCCUCCUCCACUCCUGGAGAAGGCAGGAUGGUGCAUGCCCUCUUCCACCCCCACAGCCCUGGCGCCCUGGCGCCCUGUCUUCCUCCUCAGGCCCCAGUAGCCACACUGGCACCACUGCGCUGGAGAAGACUGGGGAAGCACAGAACGUCAGAGCAGGGGCGCAAUGUGCAGACGGACGGUCAGCCUCGGGCCAAGGACCGGGCAGCAUGAGGGCCACCGUGGUAGAGCUGGUACCCAGGCAGAGUCGGGGGCCUGGCUGUCUGCAGGGCAGUUCCAAGACUGGGGGCCACCUCCCUGCUGUGUCACAAGGUCGAGCCCCAGGGAGCAGCUGACACUGCAGACCUGAAGGACCAGAACCUCUUCCUGCUUUGCGCAACCCCAGACCUGCUGGGGGGUCAGCUGGGGUCUCAGGUCUCCAGGCAAGGGGGCCGGGGACUCUCUCCAAAGCAGGUUGAACCUGCCGUGUGGCCCUCCUGCUUCCCCACUAAUAAAGGGCCCACAGGGCAGGGGUGGUCAGGGAGGCAGGGACCCCUGCAAGUACAGAUGGCACGUGCCAGACUACGCUUGAGACCCUCCUCAGUUUUUCACUGACCCUCACAGCAACCCUGGGAGACAGGCACUAAUUUAUCUUAGGUACCAAUAUCAUUCCCAUUUUCGAGAGGGGUAAACCCAGUCCCAGAGAGUUAAGGCACCCGACCAGGGCCCCCAAUUCCUGGCAAACAAGAGGCGUUUGCUAAGUAUUUGUUGAGUGGAUGAAGUCGAGGGGGGAGUGACUCGCUCAAGAGCAUCAGCAGAGUCAGAUCUGAACCCAGGUCUGACCCCGAAGCCCCUUGGUUUCUCUGCCUCGACUGAACUCUGCAGCCUUGGGACCGACGGACAAGCACAGCUGACAUAUUUACCCCUCACGGGCAUCAUGAGAUGUGACCAGCUUUCCGGGGCUCCACGCUGUUUCCUUUCACCCCGAGAAAGGCAAAAGCAGCCCCUGACAGCCAGGAGCCGGCCUGGCCCUCCCAGCUAGGCCACGGUGUGCUCCUGUGGAGCACAAAAAAUUUCACAGAUCACCAGCAUCAGACAAGGCCACUCGAUGACUGUGAUGGAUUAAGACAAAAAACAAGACCGCUCUGUAAUCGUGUCUGAACACAGACAAAAAAAUGAACGUGGUCCAAACCACAAAAAUGAUUGAAUGUCCCUUUAUCCUGGCUAAAUGAGUGACAGCUGCUUCUUUGCCAAUCACAGCUUUAGCUUCAAUUCAUCCCACUUCCCUUCUAGACUAAAAUGAUGACGGUACCCAAUCACAGAAUCACCCCUGCUUUGUGAUGGCAUCCAACCCAGAGCAAAGCUCCUCUCCCUGGAGCCGUCCUCCCCAGGAGCACCUGACGCCAGCCUGAGUCCCUUCCAGCCCUUCCUCGCCCCCUCGCUGGGGCGCCCCGCAGUUUCUUGAGGACGCCUACCACAGCAUGGCUUGCCAAGCGGUUCCACAUCCACACCCGGGACCCGAACCAGCAAACCCCAGGCUGCUGAAGCCGAACGUGGAAACAAGACACCAAAAGCAAGAAUCAGCACAAAAAAGGGCAACAGAAAUAAUAAGUAUGCGACAUGUGGAAGUGUUAGCUAGUCUUGCGCUGGUAAUCACAUUGCAAUAAAUGAAUGUAUCAAAUCGACACAUUGUAUGCCCUAAACUUACACAAUGUUACAUGAUGAUAAUAUCUCAAUUAAAAAAAAAAGGACAACAGAAAUAGACCACAAGGACUUUAGGUAUUGGAAUUACCAAAAAUUAUGGUCUUAGAAUCACAGGCUCAAAGAUCCUCAAGGACAAGUUCAUCCUAAAAUGCAUGUGGAAAAACAAGGGACCAGAGUAGCCAAAACAACCUCGAAAAAGAAGAACAAAUGUGAAGGACUCACACUUCCUGAUUUCAAAGCUUCCCACAAAGCUACCGGAAUCAAGACUGCGUGCUACCAGUGUAAGGACAGACACGUAGAUCAAUGGAGUAGAAUUGAAAGUCCAGAAAUAAACCCAUAUACAAUGGUCAAUUGACUUUUGACAAGGGUACCAACAAACUCAAUGGGGAAAUCAUCUCUUCAAUAAAUAAUGCAGGGACAACUGGAUUUUCAUGCAAAAGAAUGACGUUGGACCUCUACUUCACACCAUACACCCACAUACACCAUUAACUCAAAAUGGAUUAAAGUUCUAAAACUGUGAGCUAAAAUUAUAAAACUGUUAGAAGAAAACAGGUGUAAAUCUUCGUGACCUUGGAUUAAGCAAUGGUUUCUUAGAUAUGACAUCUAAGCGUAAGCAAAGAAUGAAUAGACAAAUUGGACUUGAUCAAAAUUUAAAACUUGAGCUUCAAAGGACACUACGUGAAAAGACAAUCCACAGAAUGGAAAAAAAUAUUUGCAACUGAAAUAUCUGAUAGGGGCCUCAUAUCUGGAAUAUAUAAAGAACUCUUACAGUUCAACAAUCAAAUGCCAAAUAAUCCGAUUGAAACAUGAGCAAGGAUUUGAAUAGACAUUUCUCUAAAGAUGAUGUAUGAAUGGCCAAUAAACACAUGAAAAGAUGAUCAACGUCAUUAAUGGUUAUGAAAUUGUAAAUCAAAACCACAAAGAGAUACCACUUCACACCCACUAAGACGACUACAAUAAAAAAGACACAUUAACAAGUGUUGGCAGAGAGGCGGAGAAAGUGAAGUCUUUAUACACUCCUAGUGGGGAUAUAAAAUGGUGCAGCCACUUUGGAAAACAGUUUGGCGGUGUCUCAAAAAGCUAAAGAUGGAGUUCCCGUAUGCUGCAGCAAUUCCACGCCGUGGAAGACAUCAAGAGAAUGGAAAACAUGUUUACAGAGAAACUUAUACUUGAAUGUUCAUCACAGUGUUAUUCGUAAUAGCCCCAAAGUGGAAACAAUCCAAACGUCCAUCCUCGAAAUAGGGUGCACCCAGACAAUGGAAUAUUACUCAGCCAUAAAAAGGAAUGAAGUCCUGACACGUCAUGAAUGAACCUCGAAAACAUGCUGCGUGAAAGAAGCUUGACACAACCCUGCAUGUUCGUUCCAUUUAUACGAAAUGUCCAGAACAGGUGAAGCCAUG